rnacentral:miRNA from 1 species
GAAAUAUGUUAGACUAUUAAGUUGGUGCAAAAGUAAUUGCGGUCUUUGCCAUUGAACGUAAUGGAAGAAACAGCAGUUACUUUUGCACCAUUCUAAUACCU